rnacentral:rRNA from 1 species
ACGGUUUUGGAUUGUAAGGUCCUUUUUUCGGGAGUUAGAGUAGGUUUAGGAAAUGAGAUCUGCUUUCAAGUACCCGGGGAAUAAGCCCUAGCUAAUACGGUGCCAGCAGCUGCGGUAAUACGUAGAGGGCAAGCGUUGUCCGGAAUCACUGGGUGUAAAGGGUGUGCAGGCGUUUCUGUAAGUGAAUUGUGAAAUCCCAGAGCUCAACUCUGGAACUGCAGUUCAUACUGCGGAAAUCGAGGUCAUGAGAGGAAAAUAGAAUUCCCGGUGUAGCGGUGAAAUGCGUAGAUAUCGGGAGGAAUACCAAUGGCGAAGGCAGUUUUCUGGCAUGAAUCUGACGCUCAUACACGAAGGCUAGGGGAGCAAACAGGAUUAGAUACCCUGGUAGUCCUAGCAGUAAACGAUGGAUAUUAGGUGUCGGGAAGGACUUCUUCUCGGUGCCGUAGCUAACGCGUUAAAUAUCCCACCUGGAAAGUACGGCCGCAAGGUUGAAACUCAAAGAAAUUGACGGGGGCCCGCACAAGCAGCGAGGCAUGUGGUUUAAUUCGAGGCUACACGAAGAACCUUACCUGGAUUUGACAUGUUUAUGAACGGUCUGCGAAAUCAGAUCUUCUAUUCCCUUCGGGGAGUAGCAUUUUCACAGGUGGUGCAUGGUUGUCGUCAGCUCGUGCCGUGAGGUGUAAGGUUAAGUCCUUAAACGAGCGCAACCCACUUCACUAUUUGCCACCGGACUUCGGUCCGAGCUACUAUAGUGAUACCGCCGGCGACGAGCCGGAGGAAGGAGUGGACGACGUCAAAUCAUCAUGCCCCUUAUGUCCAGGGCUACACACAUGCGACAAUGGUUGGUACAAUGGGUUGCGAAACAGUAAUGUGGAGCCAAUCCCGUAAAACCAGCCCCAGUACGGAUCGAGGACUGCAACUCGUCCUCGUGAAGAUGGAGUUGCUAGUAAACGCAGGUCAGCUAUACUGCGUGAAUACGUUCCCGGGCCUGUACACCCUCGAGCCAUCAUCCCAAAUUAA